GAUGCGCUCGCCUACAAACAACACGGGACAGUGAAAUAAGAUCCGAACUACAGUGGCGUGAACUCUCCAGGGGCGAAGUGUCAAGCACGAAAACUUAAAAUUUACCAAUGAGAAAAUAUCCUAAAGCUUCGGGCAAUCACUCCAAAUCAGCGGCGAAAUACACACAAAGCUUCGCAAAUCGAGAAAUAUAUCGACCAGGUGAAUCGUGGUUUUAAUCACUAAAGAAUACAAGUGAUCCAAGGUCAGAUUAUACGACAAAGGAAUUGCAAAGCGCGCCAUCAUAAGACUUGAUCAAGACGACCUAAGACAAACAAACGAGUGUCUUCCUACCCGCCAGGUCUUCGGCGACGAUCGAGGGCGUCAGACUCCGAGACAACUCUUCUCCUGUCUAUAUUAAAGACUACUGCAUGUUGUCCUGUAGGUAGAAUUACAAACUGGUGAUUAAAUAAGACGAGAUUCCGAGGAAUAGAGCGAGUUCUGGGUCCAAAACAACCAUCUGGCGAUUUGCACAUGGCUAACUAUUCCUACCACGUGUACUUGAAUUUUCCCUCGGAGAUCGCUCAGAAGAGAGCUCUAAAAACUCUGCAGCCUUCAGCAGUGUGUUUAAACUCAUGACAAUACUUUACGGCGGUCCGAUUGAACCACGGGACUCGCAGAGCGUCGGUUUCUUAUGUAGUGUUUUGCCCUUCUAGCAGGCCAUGUGCAAUUUUCCGCGCAAUAACAACAAGGCAGCGGACAAAGAUCUCUGCGUGUCGGAACGUCGUUUGAUUGACAAUAGUCCCUCGCUCUAAGCCAAUCACGGGAAAGGAUUCUGCCUCAACGUCAAAACCCUAAAACCACGUGGCUAGCCAUGUGGCUCAACCUCGUUCUGAUGUUUAUAACUGGGAGGGGCAAUUGAAAAAGGUCUUCGACCUCGAACCAAAACAAUCGCUAUAUCGCAAGAAAAUCUUCGGAAGAUUGUAUUUCCUACCUGUAAAGUUGAACUCAUGUGUCAGCCCUAAAGAGGUUCUAAAUAUUUAGGCUAUGACAGGAGAACAUAUACAAAAUGAGGCGACUAAAUCGGAAAACUUGAAUACAGAUUAACAACAUAAUAACAUGGAAGACCAUCUAUAAACAAACGCAACAAGGAUCGGACGACACAGGGAAUGCUCUCGUACGUGUUUGAUAUCUCGAGAGGGGCCAAAGCAACAAAUCAAAGAAGGACAACGAAACAGCGGACUAUGUUACCAUCCGAACUUCUGUCUGACCUUGCUAUGUAGCCUGGCCUUCAGCUUAUUUAUCCCAAGGUUAAGUGAGUGGUUUUAUGCAAGCGUUAGGGUAAAAUAAAUACAAUGGCUGCUGAAA